AAUCAGCAAUGUUCAGACUACGCCUGAAGCGGUCAGCUCAGCACGCAUGAAAGUAGCCUGCACACUUCUUGCAUGUCGAGGUAAUGCAGAGGAGUACUGUGUGCUUUGCAGCAUGCUGGAAGACGACCCCAACGAAAGCAUGAUUGAAAUGGUACAGUGUGAGAGCUGCAAUAGAUGGGCACAUUUUAAAUGUUGCAACUUCAGUAGCCUUAAUGUGUUUAAGUGCAAAAAGUGUGUAGUUUAGAUUGAGUGUAUGUGCCUUUAUCAUUUGCAAUGCUAACAGUCUUAGUCCAUAUUUAUAUUAAUAACUUAUUGUUUUACUUGUUUUGUAUUGUGCCUCUGUGUUGCAUGAUUUUGAAUUUUGAAAUGAAUUUGAUUAAAAAUCUCCUUUAUGUAUAUAUUCUAUCUGCUUGAUUAUAAAUCAUCUCAAUAACCAAUCUUAUUUCAAUUUACAUUAUCAUCUGGUUUAGAGUAAAUUUGUAACAUCUGUCCAGGGACUAUACAGAUUAAAA